CCUACGGGGGGCUGCAGUGAGGAAUAUUGGUCAAUGGCCGGAAGGCUGAACCAGCCAUGCCGCGUGAAGGUCAGUGCCCUAUGGGCGUUAAACUUCUUUUGUGCGGGAGCAAUAAUGGUCACGUGUGGCCAGACGAGAGUACCGUACGAAUAAGCAUCGGCUAACUCCGUGCCAGCAGCCGCGGUAAUACGGGGGAUGCAAGCGUUAUCCGGAUUUAUUGGGUUUAAAGUUGGCGUAGGCUGGGAGGUAAGUCAGCGGUGAAAUGCCCCCGCUCAACGGGGUGAAGUGCCCUUGAUACUGCCUUGCUGGAAUGCGGAAGCGGAGGGAGGAAGGUGUGGUGUAGCGGUGAAAUGCAUAGAUAUCACACAGAACACCGAUUGCGAAGGCGUCUAACGAAUCCGCGAUUGACGCUGAUGCACGAAAGCGUGGGUAUCAAACAGGAUUAGAUACCCGGGUAGUC
rnacentral:rRNA from 1 species